rnacentral:lncRNA from 1 species
GCACUUUCCAAGGCAGGUGGAUUGUCUGAGGUCAGGAGUUCAAGACCAUCCUGGCCAACAUAGUGAAACCCCGUCUGAGGAAGCGCUCCUUUCGCGGGGGCACUCGCUGUGGAUGAAUAAAGUACACUGACACACAUUCUGCUCUGCCAGUCCAGCUGAGGGUCCGAGCCGCUUACAGGCUCCAAGGCCAGGCACGGUGGCUCAUGCCUAUAAUUCCAGCACUUUGGAGGGCCAAGGCAGGCGGAUCAUCUGAGGUCAGGAGUUCACGCAAAUCAGGGGGCCCGUGAAAGGCAACUGAGCAGGGAUCCAUGGGAAAGACACCCUCAGAGGCACAAGAUUCUCUCGUUACCUUUCAGUUUGCUGAUACUUCAGUUAAAGUCUCCUGGGAAACGUCUGCAUUAGGUUCUUCCUCUGUAGUUCUUCUUACCUUGCCUGUAAAACAAAACCUAUCUAGUGUCUGCAUAGGUUUCCACUUCUUGUCCCCACCUGAGGAAUGGAAAGCAACGGCACAGUCCUUGCUCAUGUUUUGGAGUGAAAGGAGCUUGAAGGUCAUGUGAGCUUUGCCAAGGCUUCUCCUGGCCUCAUGUCAGAUACAGCUCCUAACUCCCAAGCAGCCUACCAUAGUGUCCUCCUUUUUUUGCGUGUGUGAUGGGGUUUCGCACUUGUUGCCCAGGCUGGAGUGCAAUGGUACAAUCUCGGCUCACUGCAACCUCCGCCUCCCAGGUUCAAGUGAUUCUUCUGCCUCAGCCUCUCAAGUAACUGGGAUUACAGGCAUGCGCCACUAAGGGAGGAGACCACUCCUCAUAUUGUCUUAUGCCCAAUUUCUGCUUCCAAAGAAAGAAGAAGUAAAAACUAAAAGGCAGAAAUGAAAUCCACAGGCAGACAGCCCAGCGCCACACCAUGGGCCUGGUAGUUAAAGAUCGAGCCCUGACCUAAUCGGUUAUGUUAUCUACAGAUUACAGACAUUGUAUAGAAAAGCACUUUGAAAAUCCCUGUCCUGUUCUGUUCCAUUCUAAUUACUGGUGCAUGCAGCCUUCAGUCACUUACUCCCUGCUUGCUCAAUCGAUCACGACCCUCUCAUGCAAACCCCCUUAGAGUUGUAAGCCCUUAAGAGGGAUAGGAAUUGCUCACUCAGGGAGCUCAGUUUUUGAGACGUGAGUCUUGCCAAUGCUCCCGGCCGAAUAAAGCCCUUCCUUCUUUAA